GACGAACGCUGGCGGCGUGCUUAACACAUGCAAGUCGAACGGAAAGGCCCUGCUUUUGUGGGGUGCUCGAGUGGCGAACGGGUGAGUAACACGUGAGUAACCUGCCCUUGACUUUGGGAUAACUUCAGGAAACUGGGGCUAAUAACGGAUAGGAGCUCCUGCUGCAUGGUGGGGGUUGGAAAGUUUCGGCGGUUGGGGAUGGACUCGCGGCUUAUCAGCUUGUUGGUGGGGUAGUGGCUUACCAAGGCUUUGACGGGUAGCCGGCCUGAGAGGGUGACCGGCCACAUUGGGACUGAGAUACGGCCCAGACUCCUACGGGAGGCAGCAGUGGGGAAUAUUGCACAGUGGGCGGAAGCCUGAUGCAGCAACGCCGCGUGCGGGAUGACGGCCUUCGGGUUGUAAACCGCUUUCGCCUGUGACGAAGCGUGAGUGACGGUAAUGGGUAAAGAAGCACCGGCUAACUACGUG
rnacentral:rRNA from 1 species